rnacentral:rRNA from 2 species
GGGUUGUGAGGUUAAGCGACUAAGCGUACACGGUGGAUGCCCUGGCAGUCAGAGGCGAUGAAGGGCGUGCUAAUCUGCGAUAAGCGCCGGUAAGGUGAUAUGAACCGUUAUAACCGGCGAUACCCGAAUGGGGAAACCCAGUGUGACUCGUCACACUAUCAUUAACUGAAUCCAUAGGUUAAUGAGGCGAACCGGGGGAACUGAAACAUCUAAGUACCCCGAGGAAAAGAAAUCAACCGAGAUUCCCCCAGUAGCGGCGAGCGAACGGGGAGGAGCCCAGAGCCUGAAUCAGCAUGUGUGUUAGUGGAAGCGUCUGGAAAGGCGCGCGAUACAGGGUGACAGCCCCGUACACAAAAGCGCAUGUGCUGUGAGCUCGAUGAGUAGGGCGGGACACGUGGUAUCCUGUCUGAAUAUGGGGGGACCAUCCUCCAAGGCUAAAUACUCCUGACUGACCGAUAGUGAACCAGUACCGUGAGGGAAAGGCGAAAAGAACCCCGGCGAGGGGAGUGAAAAAGAACCUGAAACCGUGUACGUACAAGCAGUGGGAGCACCCUUUGGGUGUGACUGCGUACCUUUUGUAUAAUGGGUCAGCGACUUAUAUUCUGUAGCAAGGUUAACCGAAUAGGGGAGCCGGAGGGAAACCGAGUCUUAACCGGGCGUUAAGUUGCAGGGUAUAGACCCGAAACCCGGUGAUCUAGCCAUGGGC